ACUCCUACGGGAGGCAGCAGUGGGGAAUAUUGCACAAUGGGCGCAAAGCUGAUGCAGCGACGCCGCGUGCGGGAUGGAGGCCUUCGGGUUGUAAACCGCUUUUGUUCAAGGGCAAGGCAGGCUUUCGGGCCUGUUGAGUGGAUUGUUCGAAUAAGCACCGGCUAACUACGUGCCAGCAGCCGCGGUAAUA
rnacentral:rRNA from 1 species